rnacentral:pre_miRNA from 1 species
UCGAAUAUUUUGACUCUUCAUCUUAUUUAAAAUUUUUUUGUGAUUAAUAUUUUUAUUCUUACUAGAUGAUAAGACAUGAAUAAUAAUUUAUACAUGACUAAUUUUUUUAGUUUUUUAUAAAUUUUUUAAAAGACGAAUGGUCAAAUAUUAGAUACGGAAA